rnacentral:rRNA from 1 species
UACGUAGGGUGCGAGCGUUAAUCGGAAUUACUGGGCGUAAAGCGUGCGCAGGCGGUUUUGUAAGCCAGAUGUGAAAGCCCCGGGCUUAACCUGGGAAUGGCAUUUGGGACUGCAAGGCUAGAGUGCGGCAGAGGAGACUGGAAUUCCUGGUGUAGCAGUGAAAUGCGUAGAUAUCAGGAGGAAUACCGAUGGCGAAGGCAGGUCCCUGGGCUGACACUGACGCUCAUGCACGAAAGCGUGGGGAGCAAGCAGG